GUUCCCGUAUGAUCACCGAAGUUAAGCAACGUUGAGCCUGGUCAGUACCUAGAUGGGUGACUACUUGGGAAUACCAGAUGCUGUAAG